rnacentral:lncRNA from 1 species
UUCAGUUCUCAUUGAAUGUCUGCCAAAUUUAAGUAUUAGCUUUGUUUUUCUUUAAGUCACCACCCUGACGUAGUAAACUUAAAGAAUUAAAAUCCCAAAAGGUACUGUUUUUUUUUUUUUUUUCAAAAACAGCAAAUUUCCUUCAAAACAAUCCACUGUAAUACAUCUGCAGUUAUUCAAAUCAGUUUGUCACUAAGUUUGAAUAAAUUCCUUAACAAUCUAAACUUGAAACACCAUUGUUGACGUAGGGGAACAUUCAGAUCUGUGAAGUUAGUUGCAAUUUACCAAAACGAAUACAUGAAAAUACCCUAUCUCAACUAAAAUAUUUCCAGUCUCUUAUUGUAAGUAGCACCAUGAACGGCUUGCCUCUACUGAUAACCCCUUGGUGGGAACCACAUAUGAUUCCUGCCUUGUUGAACUCUUUAUUUCCCAGGUUUCACAGUGUACCAUCCCAUUGUGUGCUCUGUGAUUUUUUUUCAAAGCUCAUGCUUAUUAUAUGUCCUGCAGGAUUGUGAUUGUAUGCUGGCUUUAC